rnacentral:rRNA from 1 species
UACGGAGGGAGCUAGCGUUGUUCGGAAUUACUGGGCGUAAAGCGCGCGUAGGCGGCUUUGUAAGUUAGAGGUGAAAGCCCGGGGCUCAACCCCGGAACUGCCUUUAAGACUGCAUCGCUUGAAUCCGGGAGAGGUGAGUGGAAUUCCGAGUGUAGAGGUGAAAUUCGUAGAUAUUCGGAAGAACACCAGUGGCGAAAGGCGGCUCACUGGACCGGUAUUGACGCUGAGGUGCGAAAGCGUGGGGAGCAAACAGG